rnacentral:rRNA from 1 species
AGCGAACGCUGGCGGCAUGCCUAACACAUGCAAGUCGCACGGGGGGGCUUCGGCCUCCCAGUGGCGGACGGGUGAGGAACGCGUAGGGACCUGUCGAGGGGUGGGGGAUAACCGCGGAAACUGCGGCUAAUACCGCAUGACGCCGCGGCGUGACAGCCGGGGCCAAAGGCGAAAGCCGCCCGCCGAGGGGCCUGCGUCCGAUUAGCUGGUUGGCGGGGUAGCGGCCCACCAAGGCGUCGAUCGGUAGCUGGUCUGAGAGGGUGAUCAGCCACACCGGGACUGAGACACGGCCCGGACUCCUACGGGAGGCAGCAGUGGGGAAUAUUGGACAAUGGGCGCAAGCCUGAUCCAGCAAUGCCGCGUGGGUGAAGAAGGUCUUCGGAUUGUAAAGCCCUUUCGGCGGGGACGAUGGUGACGGUACCCGCAGAAGAAGCCCCGGCUAACUUCGUG